rnacentral:rRNA from 1 species
AUUGAACGCUGGCGGCAGGCCUAACACAUGCAAGUCGCGCGAGCGGCGGACGGGUGAGUAAUGUCUGGGAAACUGCCUCAUGGAGGGGGAUAACUACUGGAAACGGUAGCUAAUACCGCAUACCAUCAGAUGUGCCCAGAUGGGAUUAGCUAGUAGGGGGGGUAACGGCUCACCUAGGCGACGAUCCCUAGCUGGUCUGAGAGGAUGACCAGCCAAACUGGAACUGAGACACGGUCCAGACGCUUACGGGAGGGAGCAGUGGGGAAUAUUGCACAAUGGGCGCAAGCCUGAUGCAGCCAGGCCGCGGGUGUGAAGAAGGCCUUCGGGUUGUAAAGCACUUUCAGCGGGGAGGCGUUACCCGCAGAAGAAGCACCGGCUAACUCCGUGCCAGCCGCCGCGGUAAUUC